ACCAUGAUCGAUAGUGUAAGUUAUCCCCGAAACCAGCCACCGCUUCACAGUCCUUAGAUUCAGUACUAUUUCCUACUUUGACUUUUGAAACCUAACAAAUCAAUUGCACUUGUGACAUGGAAGGUCCUCUGCAGAUGAGAUGACCAUAAAUUACAUCUUGAUGAUGCCACUUACGAUCAUCACAAUCUCUGCAGGGGCAUUUCAUUUCAUUACCUACGGCAAAAAGAGGAAAUGCCUUUUCCACAAAUGCUUUUAUCCCUUCUUUAUAUUCGCUACUGUAUCUUGGAAGUCCUAUCCAGUUAUAAUCAUUAACAUGUUCCAUCGUGAACCUAGGUCCUCAGAGAUUCGAAGAAUGCACCUAUAAAGCUGAAAUUAAUACCAUACUUAUAUAUUAUUUAAAAACACUUACACUAAUUGACAUUCGUACUUAGUUACAAUUGCUAUUUCACGCCUUGAAUUUUAUGUUUUUAUCUGAACUUGUACAAAAGUAAGGUACUGUUUUUAAGAAAAUAGUAUAAGAGGUUUUAAUUUAUACUAAUAGAACUAGAGGGAUAAUAAGUAGCUAGAAACAUGCUAUACAUCACCAGAAUAGUCUAAAGUCUACCGGUCUAUCAAACAGAAAAAACAACCAAAGUUAUUAGCAUACAAAAUGACAGAUUAUCAUGCCACGAAGCUGAAAGUAAUACAUACUUGAAAAAUAGAUUCACAAAAAAAAUCAAUAACACAUAAUAUAUACUCUGAAUUACAAUUAUAUUAAGCAAAACAAGCCACACCUCCAUGUCAACAACAAAGUCUAAUUUAUAAGGGGAAAUUUACAAGCCAGAGAAGAUAUCACCAUCACAUGUAGAUGUUGCAUGUACAUAUAUAAAAAUAUAUCAAAAAGAAAUCAACAACACAUAAAAUCAAUCAUGCAAGCAUAUACAUCACCAGAAUUUCAAACCUAUGCAUAAAAUCAAACAAAUACACAUAAAAUUCGAAAAAGUACCUUGAAUUCAAUUUUCAACAGCUUUAAACUUUACUCGACUUUAAUCACUUCAAACCUCAACAACUUAGAUCCUCAAUAGCUUUAAAUCGCCUCAAAGAUAGUUACUAAUCAAACACAAGACAAUCUGGAAUCCAAGUUUAUAAAACAUGAAAGUACAAAGCUAAAAACAAGAGGAAACUCGUAUUAAUACCCUGUAUGUGUACCCCACCAGACCCAUAAAAUCACUUUAUAAAACUCAACAUCAUGGAACUUUAUAUAAUCACUUUUCUACUACCCUGUAUCUGUACCCCACCAGACCUGUAGAAAAUCUCCUCAACAUUUAACAAAAAAAUUUAAAAUCAGAUUCUAAGCUCCUCAAAAAUUUAAAACAAAACACAAAAACUCAAAUACAUAAACAGCAAGAGUCAUUCAAAAAACUAAAUAACACAAAAAAAAUCAGAUUCAUAUACAACAUACAUGAAAAUACGUCCAAAUAACUAAAUAACACACAAAAAUAAAUCUCACAUAUAAUCAAACAUAUACCCAUAAAAUUACAGAGAAAUUACCUUAAAACCGCUUUAAAACUCAACAACUUUAAAUCGCCUGAAAUAAAAAGUAAAAGAUCUUAGAUACAACAGUUUAUAGAAACUAAAAGAGUCAAAAGCCCCCAUGAAUGUGUGUAUUUACCUUAUAAACAAAAGCCCCAAUUUAUGAAACCCUAACUAGCCUGCAAAUUGAGAAAAUUUGAAAGUUAGUAACCCUAAUUGGAGAAAUUGUGUGUGCUUGUGUAUUCAAUUACCAUUCGGAGACAAUAUAUGAAGCUAGUGAGGGAGAUCUAAUGUUUGAACCCUAAUCGGAGCUAUUGAGGGAGAGACUG
rnacentral:lncRNA from 1 species